UACGGGGGGGGGCAAGCGUUGUUCGGAAUUACUGGGCGAAAGGGCUCGUAGGUGGCCAACUAAGUCAGACGUGAAAUCCCUCAGCUUAACUGGGGAACUGCGUCUGAUACUGGAUGGCUUGAGUUUGGGAGAGGGAUGCGGAAUUCCAGGUGUAGCGGUGAAAUGCGUAGAUAUCUGGAGGAACACCGGUGGCGAAGGCGGCAUCCUGGACCAACACUGACACUGAUGAGCGAAAGCCAGGGGAGCAAACGGG
rnacentral:rRNA from 1 species